UUCAAAACAUUUAUUCUUUUUCCUCUGCUACGUUUUCUUUAAAACCAAACCCUAGGCCGCCGCUCUCCAACCCCAAUUUCGGCCUUACAACCCCCGCUCCAAUUCCGAUUACGGCGAAACAAACGGGAAUCGACGCUAUUAGGAAGGUAAACCUUUCUUUUCUUUCUGCUAUUCUUUUAUAUUUUAUAAAUAAACUCCAACAGAAAUUUAAAGAAACAAAAGCUUUUGCUAGGAAAGAAAAAAACCUUUUCCAAAAACUGAUAUAGUUUUUUUAUUUUUUUUUUCAGUCUUCCCCCUUUUUUACAAAUACUACAAUCGACUUUAUAGCCGAAUAUUACAGAAAUUAUUUUUUUUACAUUUUUCUAUUUUCUCUGUUAUUCUAGGCUUUUUACAAGUGCACUGGAGGAGAACGUGCGCAACGUGCGCAACGUGCAUGGAAGUUGCUGAACGUGGGCAAGGUUACUACGACGUGGGGGCAAUGGGCAGUUGCUGCGGCACUAAGGAAGGGAAAGAAAACUGCUGCUAGGGUUUCAGCCUUGAUUUAGGCCGGGCAUUGGGCUAUCGGUAUUGGGCUGUUAGAUUUAAGUUUGAGUUUAUUAGGCCUGGGCAAAAUUUGUGCUUUAUAAUAUUGUUAUAGUAUCUAAUCUCAUAAUUACCAUUAUUUUUAUACUAACUGUAUGUAAACGCACCACCC
rnacentral:lncRNA from 1 species